rnacentral:rRNA from 1 species
UACGUAGGGGGCAAGCGUUGUCCGGAAUCAUUGGGCGUAAAGAGCGUGUAGGCGGCUCGAUAAGUCUGCUGUGAAAGUCCAGGGCUCAACCCUGGAAGGCCGGUGGAAACUGUCGGGCUAGAGUCCGGAAGAGGCGAGUGGAAUUCCUGGUGUAGCGGUGAAAUGCGCAGAUAUCAGGAAGAACACCCGUGGCGAAGGCGGCUCUCUGGGACGGUACUGACGCUGAGACGCGAAAGCGUGGGGAGCAAACGGG